rnacentral:rRNA from 1 species
AAUAUUGCGCAAUGGACGGAAGUCUGACGCAGCGACGCCGCGUGAGCGAUGAAGGCCUUCGGGUCGUAAAGCUCUGUCCUUGGGGAAGAAGGUCUUCGGACUUGACGGUACCCAAGAAGAAAGCCCCGGCUAACUACGUGCCAGCAGCCGCGGUAAUACGUAGGGGGCGAGCGUUGUCCGGAAUUACUGGGCGUAAAGGGUACGUAGGCGGCUAUAUAAGUCAGGUGUGAAAUACCAGUGCUUAACACUGGAAUUGCAUUUGAAACUGUGUAGCUUGAGUGCAGGAGAGGAAAGUGGAAUUCCUAGUGUAGCGGUGAAAUGCGUAGAGAUUAGGAGGAACACCAGUGGCGAAGGCGACUUUCUGGACUGUAACUGACGCUGAGGUACGAAAGCGUGGGUAGCGAACA